ACAAUCCUCAAGCAGAGGCUACACCAGUAACAUGUCCUGCUAGUACUACUUCAUUUGGGCAAAGAAGCCACCAAAAGAAAGUUGUUGAUGCACAAACACCAAAGGAGAACAACAUAAAAAAUGCAAUAAGGCAAAAGAAUGAGACAGGUGUUGCAAUUAAAGGGAGAAGAAACCCACCAGCUGCAAGCCAUGGUGCACUAUAAGUUUUGAGAGGUGCUAACAGUGGAGGACUUUUUAUCGGAAGGGAAAAUCCACAAUCUUCUUCAUUUGUCACUACUGUAAACCUCAUUGCAAGAAAAACUACAAUGGCUGUUGAAAAGAGAAAGCAGAAUGAGGAAGUAAGCCAACAUACAACUGAAGCAUUGGAGGUUUUAGAAUUUUCUACACAGCAGAGUACAACAACAACUGCAACAAAGGAGAAGACUUAACAUUGAAGAUUGGAACACCAGCUUGUGAUCUGUUUUUGAUUGUAGUUAGUUAUCAAUAUCUGUUGUUUGGUUUCUUUUGGUUGUAGAAUUUAAUUUCAUUAUAUAUUUUUAGGUCACAAGCCCAGGGCAAUUUUGUUGUUUUAAUAUGUAAAAGUUAGGAUCAGAAGGUUGUUUCCAUAGAUUUGAUAAAUUCACUAGAAUUGGAAUUUUGAU